AUGGACCUCAUGGGCAGGAACGUGCAUCAGCGCUGGUUCCUCCUCUUUCUGGUGGCAGCUCCCGCAUGUGUCCUGUCCCAGGUACAGCUGCAGGAGUCGGGGCCAAGCCUGGUGACGCCCUCGCAGACGCUGUCCCUCACCUGCUCGGUCUCUGGAUUCUCUCUAACCAGCAAUCAUGUGAACUGGGUCCGCCAGUCCCCUGGAAAGGGACUGGAUUGGAUUGGUCUUAUAGAUAGUGCUGGAAACAUAUACUAUAACCCAAGUCUUCAGUCCCGAGUCAGCAUCUCCAGGGACACCUCCAAGAACCAAGUUUACCUAAAACUGAGCAACUCAGCAACUGAGGACACAGCCGUGUAUUAUUGUGCAAGAGGCACAGUUGUUCUUCCUGUAACUUCUUUUGAUGCCUUUGGUGACAUCACUGUAGUC